rnacentral:rRNA from 1 species
UGCAAGUCGAACGAUGAACUCCAGCUUGCUGGGGGGAUUAGUGGCGAACGGGUGAGUAACACGUGAGUAACCUGCCCUUGACUCUGGGAUAAGCGUUGGAAACGACGUCUAAUACCGGAUAUGACCAGCCUCGGCAUCGGGUGUUGGUGGAAAGAAUUUUGGUCAAGGAUGGACUCGCGGCCUAUCAGGUAGUUGGUGAGGUAAUGGCUCACCAAGCCUACGACGGGUAGCCGGCCUGAGAGGGUGACCGGCCACACUGGGACUGAGACACGGCCCAGACUCCUACGGGAGGCAGCAGUGGGGAAUAUUGCACAAUGGGCGAAAGCCUGAUGCAGCAACGCCGCGUGAGGGACGACGGCCUUCGGGUUGUAAACCUCUUUUAGCAGGGAAGAAGCGAAAGUGACGGUACCUGCAGAAAAAGCACCGGCUAACUACGUGCCAGCAGCCGCGGUAAUACGUAGGGUGCAAGCGUUGUCCGGAAUUAUUGGGCGUAAAGAGCUCGUAGGCGGUUUGUCGCGUCUGCUGUGAAAACUGGAGGCUCAACCUCCAGCCUGCAGUGGGUACGGGCAGACUAGAGUGCGGUAGGGGAGAUUGGAAUUCCUGGUGUAGCGGUGGAAUGCGCAGAUAUCAGGAGGAACACCGAUGGCGAAGGCAGAUCUCUGGGCCGUAACUGACGCU